CAGCAGCCGCGGUAAAACGAAGGGUGCAAGCGUUAAUCGGAAUUACUGGGCGUAAAGCGUGCGUAGGCGGUGAGUUAAGCCUGCUGUGAAAUCCCCGGGCUCAACCUGGGAAUGGCAGUGGAUACUGGCUCGCUAGAGUGUGUCAGAGGAUGGUGGAAUUCCCGGUGUAGCGGUGAAAUGCGUAGAGAUCUGGAGGAACACCGAUGGCGAAGGCAAUCCCCUGGACCUGUACUGACGCUCAUGCACGAAAGCGUGGGGAGCAAACAGGAUUAGAUACCCCAGUAGUCCCUGUCUCUUAUAC
rnacentral:rRNA from 1 species